rnacentral:rRNA from 1 species
CCUACGGGUGGCUGCAGUGGGGAAUAUUGCACAAUGGGGGAAACCCUGAUGCAGCGACGCCGCGUGAGUGAAGAAGUAUUUCGGUACGUAAAGCUCUAUCAGCAGGGGAGAAAAUGACGGUACCUGACUAAGAAGCCCCGGCUAACUACGUGCCAGCAGCCGCGGUAAUACGUAGGGGGCAAGGGUUAUCCGGAUUUACUGGGUGUAAAGGGAGCGUAGACGGCAGCGCAAGUCUGAUGUGAAAUCCCAUGGCUUAACCAUGGAACUGCUAUGGAAACUGUCCAUCUGGAGUUCAGGUGGGGUAAGCGGAAUUCCUAGUGUAGCGGUGAAAUGCGUAGAUAUUAGGAGGAACACCAGUGGCGAAGGCGGCUUACUAAACUGUAACUGACGUUGAGGCUCGAAAGCGUGGGGAGCAAACAGGAUUAGAUACCCGAGUAGUC